rnacentral:tRNA from 1 species
UCUUCAUUAGUAGAGUGUUGAGUAUCCCUGUCUAUCACGUGGGAGACCAGGGUUCGAUUUCCUGAUGGGGAA